GACUGGGCUCCACAGGUUGACUGGGCUCCACAGGGGCUUCACUUCCGGUCUGUCAUGCACUUACAGUUAAGCUGGCUUUUGGGGCUGACGUCAUCUGAAGGCUGAACUGAACCGGAUAUAGGAGAUGGUAUUCUCAUUCACAUGUCUGGGAUGGCUGGAACAAGUUUCUCCACGUAACUUCUUCAAAUGUUGAGACUUGUUGAGACUUCCUUAUAGAAUGCCAGUUUCUGGGCUAGAGCAGAAGCCUCCUCCCACCAGCCUCCUCAGCCUUGUGGGUUCCCUUGCCUCUCCUCCAGAGUAUGUAGUCAGAGGGAUCCUUGAAAAACAGAAGUGCAUAUGUGUACGUGACUCCCACCUAAUUUUAAUGUCUGGGUCAGCUUCCAAUUACCCAUGGCUCUUAGGAAAAAUACAACGGUCCCAUCAUGGCCUGCACUAAGUUGAGCCAAGUGAGCUAACAUCUCCAGCCUCAUCAGUAGGGCUCUUCCUUCACUUGCUGCUCCAGAUAUACUCCUGGAAACAGUAAUCCUCUUCCUCUUCUCUUCUCCAUCAACCUAGUCCCACCUCAUUUUUAAUUCUUAGGAGUAGCAGUAUUUCCAGCUGUUUGCAGAAGUACUUGUGAGUCUCAAAUCUAACAUCCAAUUUGUGGCAACUGUUUCACCUUCUAAGUGCCUCAACUUUCUCAUCUUUGCAGUGGGGUCAUAAUCAAACCUGCUAAGAAGCCUGCCUUGAGGAUGAAAGGAUUGGAGAGUUCAAACAUUUAUAAAUCCAAAAACAACAUGUUCCUGUGCAGAAAUCCACCACACCAUUGAGAAGCAUGUCAUAAUGAUAGCCAGAAAUGGCAUCCGUGACUUUGUUGCUGUGUCUGAAAAUGUUUUGCGUGUAUCAGGAAAUCCCAAAAAAGUUCAUACCUAAUUGCACAGUCCAGCUUCAGCCCCUCUCUUUCUGCAGACUUGGAUCCCAAGAGCCCUUCCUGAUAAUGUCCCUGCGUGCUAGUCUGCUUUCAAGAGAACUCAACUUAGAACACCACACGUAAACAGUUUGUGUUUUUUCCUCAUGGUAAAACUGAGUGAUUGAAAUGAAGAGCCGAUCAUUCUGAGCAGAGGGAUGGAUGGUAAUAAUCUGCAACAUGACUUAAGAAGGUGAUGCAAAAUCACUCAUUCCUCUGCAGUGUGGCUCAGAAACCAAGCAAAAUUGAAGGGCUUGGCCAUACUCCUCUCUUCUGAAGCCACACAACCUUCACUGUGCAGUUUGGCUACUCAACAGAUUGCCCAGUUGUUUUGAUAUUUUGCAGGCAUAACCUAAUCUCACAGUUUUCUUGUGAACAUCAAAUACUUUUAAAUGCUGCUUGCAAAUAAAGUAUCAUCUAGUUCCUACUCCCCACCUUCCCA